UUACUAAUUUGUUUUCUUUAAUUUACGGUAUAUUUGUACGACAAAUUUACAAAAAAAAAAGAAAAAAAAAACUAUUUUAUUUAUAGUUAAAUAUUAUGCAAAGUCAAAAUACCUGGUACGUGGCAACCCCAAAUCCUUCAUGUUGGCUCAUGAUACAGGUCAUCUCUCUCUUAAGUCUCUCAAAUCCUUCAGAGAUAAAAGGAGAAAAGAGAGAGAGAGUUCUCAUUGUUUCUCUGGAAAAUUUUCCAGCGCUUUGUUUACUCAGCGUAGUGGAUAACAGUUUUGGAAUGUGGUUUCUUAUGCAUGGUGUGCCUGGUUUUUGGCUCUGGAAGCUCUCAUGUUCUCUUGGUGCUGAUGUUCGGCUUUUGGUACCAGUGAAUCACAUCUCUUCGUGGUGAUUCAUUGGCACUUGGUUCCGGCGAUUUCGAUCAUAGUGUCUUUUCUGAUGGUGUCGUCUGGCUCUUUUCCGGGUUAAUUCGGGUUUCUUUCUAAUCUUCGCUUCAGACUAUUUUGGUUCAUUUAUUCUUUUGUUUUGAAGCAUGCAGUUGGAUCUCUACAAAGUGAAGGUCGAUUUGGCUAGGGUUUUAGCUCCUUUAGUGUUUCUCUUUUUGGUUUUAUUCUUGGUUUCGACAGAUUGAGUUUUCUGGUGGUGGAAAUCCGACGGCUAAAGUCUCAUAUUUUAUUUUGUCUUUUUUGACUAAAGUUGUCUCGACGGUUCUCCUUUCUUGAGAUCAGUAUCUUUGGUGGAUCGACAAAAAGCUGCUCCGGCGGCAAUUUUCAAAUGGUGAUGACGGUGGCCGACCGUUGUGACGCGUGUCUCCUCCUUUACCGAGGUCCACGCACGUGCGACUGCGAGGUUGACCAGCUCAUAUAAUCCCGAGAGAAACUGAAUCGACCCAUCUAAUUAAAUUUGUUCGGACAGAAUCAUGGUCAUGCAUUAAUUGUGUCUACAACUCUUAUGUAUUCAGGUCAAUGGCAUUAAAUGAUAGUGUU